UGCGGUAGGAUCAUUGUCAGUAGGGACCGAUGAAUCUUUGCUCACGAUGGGUUGUUGCAUGCCUCUUGCUCGGUCUGUGUUUGGAUGAGGUAAUGUGUCACCACUUUUGGAGGGUUGAUCG
rnacentral:rRNA from 1 species